UACGAAGGGGGCGAGCGUUGUUCGGAAUUACUGGGCGUAAAGCGUGCGCAGGCGGUGAUGUAAGACAGUUGUGAAAUCCCCGGGCUCAACCUGGGAACUGCAUCUGUGACUGCAUCGCUGGAGUGCGGCAGAGGGGGAUGGAAUUCCGCGUGUAGCAGUGAAAUGCGUAGAUAUGCGGAGGAACACCGAUGGCGAAGGCAAUCCCCUGGGCCUGGCACUGACGCUCAUGCACGGAAGCGUGGG
rnacentral:rRNA from 1 species